UUAAGUUCAGCGGGUAUCCCUACCUGAUCCGAGGUCAAAAGCAAAAGUAUAGACUUCAUGGACGCAAGCGUUCAGGUUCAGAGGCGCAAAUUGUGCUGCGCUCCCAGACUAGUACGCCGGCUGCCAAUUGCUUUAAGGCGAGUCCACGCACAAAGCGGGACAAACACCCAACACCAAGCAGAGCUUGAAGAUACAAAUGA
rnacentral:misc_RNA from 1 species